rnacentral:rRNA from 1 species
GAUGAACGCUGGCGGCGUGCCUAAUACAUGCAAGUCGAGCGAACAGACGAGGAGCUUGCUCCUCUGACGUUAGCGGCGGACGGGUGAGUAACACGUGGAUAACCUACCUAUAAGACUGGGAUAACUUCGGGAAACCGGAGCUAAUACCGGAUAAUAUAUUGAACCGCAUGGUUCAAUAGUGAAAGACGGUUUUGCUGUCACUUAUAGAUGGAUCCGCGCCGCAUUAGCUAGUUGGUAAGGUACCGGCUUACCAAGGCAACGAUGCGUAGCCGACCUGAGAGGGUGAUCGGCCACACUGGAACUGAGACACGGUCCAGACUCCUACGGGAGGCAGCAGUAGGGAAUCUUCCGCAAUGGGCGAAAGCUUUACGGAGCAACGCCGCGUGAGUGAUGAAGGUCUUCGGAUCGUAAAACUCUGUUAUUAGGGAAGAACAAAUGUGUAAGUAACUAUGCACGUCUUGACGGUACCUAAUCAGAAAGCCACGGCUAACUACGUG